rnacentral:rRNA from 1 species
GUGGGGAAUAUUGGACAAUGGGCGAAAGCCUGAUCCAGCCAUGCCGCGUGUGUGAAGAAGGUCUUCGGAUUGUAAAGCACUUUAAGUUGGGAGGAAGGGCAUUAACCUAAUACGUUAGUGUUUUGACGUUACCAACAGAAUAAGCACCGGCUAACUUCGUGCCAGCAGCCGCGGUAAUACGAAGGGUGCAAGCGUUAAUCGGAAUUACUGGGCGUAAAGCGCGCGUAGGUGGUUUUGUAAGUUGGAGGUGAAAUCCCCGGGCUCAACCUGGGAACUGCCUCCAAAACUGCAUGACUAGAGUACGGUAGAGGGUAGUGGAAUGUCCUGUGUAGCGGUGAAAUGCGUAGAUAUAGGAAGGAACACCAGUGGCGAAGGCGACUACCUGGACUGAUACUGACACUGAGGUGCGAAAGCGUGGGGAGCAAACAGGAUUAGAUACCCUAGUAGUCC